rnacentral:lncRNA from 1 species
UAUUCAAUAGAUAUAUAUGGCGUUUUAAUAGAUAUGUAUGUAUGAUGCUUCUCUUGUUGAAAUACUCCCAUCUACCCAUCUAUAUAUGUACAUUAUGCACACAUAUACGUAUAUACACACAACAAUUGGAAUUUAGUAGUAAAUAUCUAUGAAUGAAAAGUACUGUUAAAAACAUUAAUCUUAAAAGGUUUAGCUGAAAUAUAAGUAUAAACCAGGUAUGUUUUGGCUAGACUUGAUUCAAUUACAGUAGGAAAAUCCUCUUCCUCAUGGUUAUGUUUUGUGAGCCGUUAUCAAUGUCUUUUCAGGUUAACAGACAUCAGAAUCCUGAAAGCUGCCUUCGUGGUAUAAUUCUUGACUGGUCUGGGGAAGUCUGCGUCUUAGCAACCAUGAAGACUAAGAGAGCCGCCAUGCAGAAGGAAAAAGAACAGACUGGUGGAUGCAAAUUCUCUCUAGAAAAAGGAAUUAAUUUACUAAGGUAUGAUGCAUCUUUUCUCUUUUCUAUUCUGGUAAUUGAAUAUUCAUCGCAUAACAAAUGCUGCUAAUUAGCCGAUUAU